rnacentral:rRNA from 1 species
CCUACGGGAGGCAGCAGUGGGGAAUAUUGCACAAUGGGCGCAAGCCUGAUGCAGCCAUGCCGCGUGUGUGAAGAAGGCCUUCGGGUUGUAAAGCACUUUCAGCGGGGAGGAAGGCGGUGAGGUUAAUAACCUCAUCGAUUGACGUUACCCGCAGAAGAAGCACCGGCUAACUCCGUGCCAGCAGCCGCGGUAAGACGGAGGGUGCAAGCGUUAAUCGGAAUUACUGGGCGUAAAGCGCACGCAGGCGGUCUGUCAAGUCGGAUGUGAAAUCCCCGGGCUCAACCUGGGAACUGCAUUCGAAACUGGCAGGCUAGAGUCUUGUAGAGGGGGGUAGAAUUCCAGGUGUAGCGGUGAAAUGCGUAGAGAUCUGGAGGAAUACCGGUGGCGAAGGCGGCCCCCUGGACAAAGACUGACGCUCAGGUGCGAAAGCGUGGGGAGCAAACAGGAUUAGAUACCCGAGUAGUC